rnacentral:rRNA from 1 species
GCCUAGCCGUAACACACAAUUAAACUACCAAUUGUCCGCCAAACAACUACGAGCCAUACUUGAAACUUAAAAGACUUGACGGUACUUCAUCACGACCUAGAGGAGCCUGUCCAAUAACCGACAAUCCACGAUUAACCCAACCCCUUCUUGCCCAACAGUCUAUAUACCGCCGUCGCCAGCUUACCUUGUAAAAGAAAUAAAGUGAGCUAAAUAGUACAACACUAAAACGACAGGUCGAGGUGUAACUUAUGAAGGGGCCAAGAUGGGCUACAUUCUCCAACCGAGAAUACGCAUAACACUAUGAAAUUAGUGUUUGAAGGCGGAUUUAGCAGUAAGAUAAGAAUAAAAUACUUAACUGAACACAACGCAAUGAAGUGCGUACACACCGCCCGUCAUCCCUGCCACCAUAAUAUAAACCUUAAUAAACUAACCAAAAAAAUCAAACAGGGCAAGUCGUAACAUGGUAAGUGUACUGGAAAGUGUACUUAGAAA